ensembl:snoRNA
AUUCUUUUGUAGUUAGUAAGUGUGAUGAUUGGAUUUUCAUGCUCUUAUGUGAGAUGUGUCUCCCUCAAACCUUGUCAUGGCAUCUUGGCACAUUACCCAUCUGAUG